rnacentral:rRNA from 1 species
UAAGGGCGCACGGUGGAUGCCUUGGCACUAGAAGCCGAUGAAGGACGUUACUAACGACGAUAUGCUUUGGGGAGCUGUAAGUAAGCUUUGAUCCAGAGAUUUCCGAAUGGGGAAACCCAGCAUGAGUUAUGUCAUGUUAUCGAUAUGUGAAUACAUAGCAUAUCAGAAGGCACACCCGGAGAACUGAAACAUCUUAGUACCCGGAGGAAGAGAAAGAAAAUUCGAUUCCCUUAGUAGCGGCGAGCGAAACGGGAAGAGCCCAAACCAACAAGCUUGCUUGUUGGGGUUGUAGGACACUCUAUACGGAGUUACAAAGGACGACAUUAGACGAAUCAUCUGGAAAGAUGAAUCAAAGAAGGUAAUAAUCCUGUAGUCGAAAAUGUUGUCUCUCUUGAGUGGAUCCUGAGUACGACGGAGCACGUGAAAUUCCGUCGGAAUCUGGGAGGACCAUCUCCUAAGGCUAAAUACUCUCUAGUGACCGAUAGUGAACCAGUACCGUGAGGGAAAGGUGAAAAGCACCCCGGAAGGGGAGUGAAAUAGAACCUGAAACCGUGUGCUUACAAGUAGUCAGAGCCCGUUAAUGGGUGAUGGCGUGCCUUUUGUAGAAUGAACCGGCGAGUUACGAUUUGAUGCAAGGUUAAGCAGUAAAUGUGGAGCCGUAGCGAAAGCGAGUCUGAAUAGGGCGUUUAGUAUUUGGUCGUAGACCCGAAACCAGGUGAUCUACCCUUGGUCAGGUUGAAGUUCAGGUAACACUGAAUGGAGGACCGAACCGACUUACGUUGAAAAGUGAGCGGAUGAACUGAGGGUAGCGGAGAAAUUCCAAUCGAACCUGGAGAUAGCUGGUUCUCUCCGAAAUAGCUUUAGGGCUAGCCUCAAGUGAUGAUUAUUGGAGGUAGAGCACUGUUUGGACGAGGGGCCCCUCUCGGGUUACCGAAUUCAGACAAACUCCGAAUGCCAAUUAAUUUAACUUGGGAGUCAGAACAUGGGUGAUAAGGUCCGUGUUCGAAAGGGAAACAGCCCAGACCACCAGCUAAGGUCCCAAAAUAUAUGUUAAGUGGAAAAGGAUGUGGCGUUGCCCAGACAACUAGGAUGUUGGCUUAGAAGCAGCCAUCAUUUAAAGAGUGCGUAAUAGCUCACUAGUCGAGUGACACUGCGCCGAAAAUGUACCGGGGCUAAACAUAUUACCGAAGCUGUGGAUUGUCCUUUGGACAAUGGUAGGAGAGCGUUCUAAGGGCGUUGAAGCAUGAUCGUAAGGACAUGUGGAGCGCUUAGAAGUGAGAAUGCCGGUGUGAGUAGCGAAAGACGGGUGAGAAUCCCGUCCACCGAUUGACUAAGGUUUCCAGAGGAAGGCUCGUCCGCUCUGGGUUAGUCGGGUCCUAAGCUGAGGCCGACAGGCGUAGGCGAUGGAUAACAGGUUGAUAUUCCUGUACCACCUAUAAUCGUUUUAAUCGAUGGGGGGACGCAGUAGGAUAGGCGAAGCGUGCGAUUGGAUUGCACGUCUAAGCAGUAAGGCUGAGUAUUAGGCAAAUCCGGUACUCGUUAAGGCUGAGCUGUGAUGGGGAGAAGACAUUGUGUCUUCGAGUCGUUGAUUUCACACUGCCGAGAAAAGCCUCUAGAUAGAAAAUAGGUGCCCGUACCGCAAACCGACACAGGUAGUCAAGAUGAGAAUUCUAAGGUGAGCGAGCGAACUCUCGUUAAGGAACUCGGCAAAAUGACCCCGUAACUUCGGGAGAAGGGGUGCUCUUUAGGGUUAACGCCCAGAAGAGCCGCAGUGAAUAGGCCCAAGCGA